GCGGGGUUGCCGGAGCGGUCAAACGGGACGGACUCAAGAUCCGUUGGCUUAGUGCCUUCACAGGUUCGAAUCCUGUAUCCCGCA
rnacentral:tRNA from 1 species